UAUCAGUGUGCCUCAGCUUGCUGAGCUCUAGGCACCAAAGUCUUUAGAGUAAGCAUUUGGUGGCCUGUUUAACAUCCACUGGCACCUGCUACCUGCCAGCCCCUUUACACAUGUUAAUUAUAAUCCUUAAAACAGCCCGGCAAGUGAAUUCAUAAAUACUGCUCCUAUGGAGAUGAUGCCACACAUUGGCCGACAGCUAGGAAGUCAUGACACUGAGGCAUUCCGCUACCACUGCGCAGCUGACAGCCCCCUUCCCGCUGUCCUCCAGGAACUAGCCAACCAGUUUAAUAAAACAAUGUUAGGAAGAAUCUAUAAUUUGGGAAAUUCCUAAAAUAAAUCUUUCCCCCAAGAAUUCACUGCAGACACCAGACAACAUUUUAACUAAGAGGCAUGUACAAUUAUGGGAAAUGAAGCAUAUCUGAAGGAGAGAUACCAUACUAAAAGACACAAGAAGGACUAAAGGAAUGCGUAUUUAUCUUCCUCUCCUCAGCUCCCAGAAUUCUGGAAUGUGGUUUGUAUUUCACAGUCAGGAAUUUCAAAGAUUUCAUUCUGGAUAAAUUGGGCAGCAAAAAAAAAGACAUUUAUGCAAAUUAGCAGAUAAUAAUCUUCUAAUUACAUAGCCGAAUUCUUGCAAAAUCAUCCCAACAUGAAGCUCUCCUGUCAAGCAGUCAUGCCUAUACACAACAAGCUUCUGAUGUACAUUUUAGUGUCCUAGUUGUACAUAUGAAUAAACAACCAGAGUCACCAGGAAUUUGAUGAAAUUUUCUAACAUCAUUUGAGAUCAGAACAGAAAGGAAAGGGAACUCAGAGAAAGUAGGGACAACAUAAGAAACACAAGAAAUUUUGAACCGUUAUUUUUACUGUCUUCUGAGACA